rnacentral:misc_RNA from 1 species
AAGUCGUAACAAGGUCUCCGUAGGUGAACCUGCGGAGGGAUCAUUAACACGUUUAUUUCACUAUAAACGUAUCUAUACCAAACAAAUAGAAACCAAAGUCGAGAUGGAGAUAGAAAUAUUUCGAUCCCUACUUAGUUCCUCUCCCUCUCUACAUGUAUAUGACUAUGUAUGUAGUUAGGCUCUUUUGUGUACACCCCUUUCCAACUAUGUACCUAUUUUGUGUACAUUUUCCGCAGUCUUCUAUGUCAGUGUUAAUCACUGUACAUUGAUAUACUAAUGUUAAAAGCACAACUCUUAGCAACGGAUAUCUUGGUUCUC